rnacentral:lncRNA from 1 species
ACACAAAGAUUUUUGUGCCGUUACGCUGACUGCCGCCUAGCAGCACGCGACAGUCAGCUGAGCGCACACCCCCCGACCCGCGCUGACACCGCGCCGAAACGUCGCGCUCGGCCGAAUAUGCCCGACUACCCGGCAACGACGCUCGGGCACGAUCGGCCGCCGAACCGAGCUAGCGGCCCCGCCGAAGUUAUUCGGCAAACGCCGCAUAAUCACGAUUAAUUCCGAUUAAAAAGCGGAAUUAACUCCGAUUAAGGGCGAAGAAAACCGAAGCCCCAAAAUCUCGGGUAUAUAACCCCGGCAGAUUUUAACGAGAGGGAAGUCUCCAGAGUUCCGUCUCCACGACUAGUUCUUUCCGAGAGAGGAUCAACCGAGAAGCUUCUGCCGAAAUUCGACACCAGGAAGGCAAGAGCUGAUCAGCUGGGAGUUGACGCGUCGGUCCAGCACACAAGGAAUACUCCCAUCGCCCGCACCCCUCGACCCCCGGGGCGAUCAACGCUGCGGCCGAGGACAAAAGCGAGCGCGACGUGUCGCGACGCGUUCUUACACCGUUUUUUCGACCCGUCGUCAAGUCGUGUGCCGAAUCACCCAAGCUAGCGCUUUAAACCACAACGGAACACACACCGCGCGGUCACUAAUCGGUGGCUCGACCCUCAUUGCGGAUCAAGCGCCGUCUGAAAUAAUUACCGAAAUAAGCUCCAAGCAAAUCGCUCACCUACCACGGUGACCCCGCGGGGCUCGUAGCGUCCGCGGAAACGAUUCACGCAAUCAUCUAACACCCAAACAUUGGGACGUCGCGUCACGGCACGCGGUCGUGACGGGCAAAUAAAGACUUAUUGUGUUAUACUUAUUUUGUCUUCGCUUAUUGACACAUACACACACCACACACACACCUUCACCUGAAAAUCUUUCCUGUGGUCGGCUCGCAAACCGCGAUCCAAGCCACAGGGCCGGAUCAACCCGAAACAACCGAGCCUGGAGGCGCGACCGUUACAUGGCGAUCCUGCCAGGAUCCGGCAGCUAAAGGGAAGGUGUGUGUUGCACGAUAAGUGGAGACA